GGCCCUAAAAAGACAAAAAAAUAAAAAAAUAAGAUAAAAAAAUGUUUUAAAUACAAGGAAACAAAAGAACAGACACAACACCAGGUCCUAUUUAAACUCCACAGCAACAUGAUCUGGAAAUAAGCCUGCACGUAACAACAAGGCUCUGAACUCAACAAAGUGGGAGGAAGCUGGUCAAAGAAUAAUUUACAGUGGCUGCAGGAUUUUCUCAAAGAGGGGAACGCCGGCCAUGACCUCUGCAGCAGAGGUCAGUGCUGCAGCAGCGAUCAUGCCCUGGGCGUAUGUGAUCCACUCAAUCGUCCGGAUGACAGUUGAGAGGAAAUAUUCCAGACCUGCUGUCCGCCCCCCGGAGCCACGAGCAGUGGAGAGAGUCACCCAGCCCCAUCGGCUGGAAAAGGAGCCUGAGCCCACAGCCCUGGCUGUGCCCACACUGUCCACAUACAGGGACGUUUGAUAAAGGCUCCUGAAUUCUCUCUGCAUGACUUCUGUCAUUGCCGAAGUGUCUUUCGCUUCAUGAUCCGGCUUCUAGAAGCUCAUCAACAGGCAAAGAAGAUGCUGAUCACGUAGAUUUUCUUGUUGCUGUUGUUAAGGCAAUGUCAGCUUUGUUACAAUUAACGAUGACGGCUAAUCGUGCUCGAGUGCUUAUCCCACUUGAUCCUCACAAUCAUCAGAAUCCGACUGCGAGGCAGCAGAGGGAAGCCAUCAAGAGCACCAGGCUGCUGAGAUUCAAACCCUGGCUCUAACCCUUAACAGCUGUGUAACCUCGAGCAACUGGCUGAACCUCUCUGGGCUCCGGUCUCUGCAUCUGCCAAGUGGGAAUUAAGGUAGCACCUACCUCAUGGGGUUGUUGUGAAGAUUAAAUGUGUUAAUGGUCCUAAAGUACUGAGACAGCAGCUGCCACAUAGCGAGUACAAUAUAAAUGGUUGCUGUUGCUCCAUUUCACAGACAAAACAACUGAGGCUCAGGCGGUAAUGCCCAAAUUCCGUAGCUACUCCACGGCAGCUCGUCCAACCCAAAUAUGUUAGGCUUCGGACCCCGGGUGCUUAACCACCAUGCUUGUUAUCAACCAUCAAGAGGAAAACUGAACUUCCCAUCGUGGCGCAUGGUUAACAAAUCUGACUAGGAACCAUGAGGUUGCAGGUUCGAUCCCUGGCCUUGCUCAGUGGGUUAAGGAUCUGGCGUUGCCGUGAGCUGUGGUGUAGGUUGCAGACAUGGCUCGGAUUCCAAGUUGCUGUUGCUGUAGUGUAGGCCAGUAGCAGCAGCAGCUCCGAUUAGACCCCUAGCCUGGGAACCUCCAUAUGACGAGGGAGCGGCCCAAGAAAAGGAAAAAAGACAAAAAAAAAAAAAAAAAAAAAAAAAGAGGAAAACUAACCCUGGUCUCUGUGCCUUCUUGGAUCCUCCUCAACCUUGGGGUGUGUUGGUUAGACAGCCAGACUCCAGACCUUGGAAACAGAGGCCCCAACUCCCCAGCUUCCUGGGUCAGCCCAGCAGCAGGCGAACUUCCCUUGGGUCAUUAACCAGGACAACAGACAGCUAUCUCCCUGCUGACUGCCUGCUGAACUUCCAUUCUCAGAGGCAGGAACUGUCCCGAGUUCUCCAUUCCUGGGAAAAUGGACACAGGACCCUAUGGUCCUUCCCCCCGUCACCGGUGUCCUCCACCUGCCUUUUGUCUGUAGAAAAAAUUUAGUCAAAGAAUAAGUUCAGGAGAUCCCCCUCUGCCGCAAUGGGAUCAGCAGUGUCUUGGGAGCACUGGGAUGCAGGUUCGAUACCUGGCCUGGCACCAUGGGUUAAGGAUCCGGCACUGCCACAGCUGCAGCUUGGGUCAAAACUGCAGGUAGGAUCUGAUCCCUGGCCAGGAACUCCAUAUGGCACAGGUGGCCCAAAAAAUGGAAAAAAAAAAAA
rnacentral:lncRNA from 1 species